rnacentral:rRNA from 1 species
CCUACGGGUGGCAGCAGUAGGGAAUAUUGCUCAAUGGGGGAAACCCUGAAGCAGCAACGCCGCGUGGAGGAUGAAGGUUUUCGGAUUGUAAACUCCUUUUGUUAGAGAAGAUAAUGACGGUAUCUAACGAAUAAGCACCGGCUAAAUCCUUGCCAGCAGCCGCGGUAAUACGGGGGGUGCAAGCGUUACUCGGAAUCACUGGGCGUAAAGAGCGCGGAGGCGGGAUAGCAAGUCAGAUGUGAAAGCCUAUGGCUUAACCAUAGAACUGCAUUUGAAACUGUUAUUCUAGAGUAUGGGAGAGGUAGGUGGAAUUCUUGGUGUAGGGGUAAAAUGCGUAGAGAUCAAGAGGAAUACUCAUGGCGAAGGCGACCUGCUAGAACAUAACUGACGCUGAUGCGCGAAAGCGUGGGGAGCAAACAGGAUUAGAUACCCCUGUAGUC